AAAAUGAUUACUUCAUUCAGUAUAAUGCUUCCAAUUCACAUGUAAAGUACAUGUUACAAUACAAUACAAUACAAUAAAUCUAUGGAUCAACUUCUUGAAUUGCAGUUUGUACAUUGUGAGAUUUGUUAUAGAAUAAAGAAAAUUUGAAUCAUAUUACUAUGUUAUAUUAUUACAUAAAGUCUCUUCAUUGGGAAUAAUAUAGAUCACAGUCUGGAACCUUGAUCUGCUUGAGAAAACUGCUGCCUCAAUACCCUUCUCAUGACUUUAUUUGUUGCUGUUCUUGGAAGGGAAGGGAGAGGAACAAUACUCGAAACCUUGAACAAUGGGUUCAACUUCCUCUGCAAAGCUGUGUUGAAAGAAAUCAACAAAUUGACCAACUUUUGCUCCAAGUUAUCUGAAUCCUUGAACACGACUGCAAUUACCAACUUCUCAGGCCCACCAGCAGCAGGUGGUACUCCAACUGCUGCUGUCUCUAGUAUAUUUUCAUCUACUACAUUGCAUAUGCGCUCAAUCUCAAGUGAACUCACCUUUAUACCCCCUAGGUUCAUUGUAUCAUCUGCACGGCCAUGUGCAUGGUAAUAUCCUUUGGACGUACGUUCAAAAACAUCCCCGUGUCUUCUUAGAACCUUUCCAUUCAAAACAGGCAUUCCUUUGAAGUAGAUCUCAUUAUGGUCCGCGUUCAGCAGUGUACUUGAAGCUCCAAACAUGAGAGGACCAAGGGCCAAUUCACCAUUCCCAGGAACAUCUGAUGGUAUAGGAAACCCAUCAUCGCCAAGAAUAUGAAGACUACAUCCCAUGACUGCUGUGCUGAAAGCGGCUAAAGACUGGGGCUGCAACAUUGACCCAGAGACAAAGGAGCCACCAAUCUCUGUACCACCGCAAUACUCCAUUAUCGGUUUAUAUUCAGCUCUUCCCAUUAGCCAAAGAUAUUCAUCCACGCUAGAUGCCUCACCAGUGGAGCCAAAGCAACGGAUGGUUGACCAAUCAUAGCCAUCAGGAGAAUUUUUUGCUUUCCAAGUCCUCACGAUACUUGGAAUCACCCCAAGCAUAGUUACUUUAGCAUCCUGGUUAAUUUGCAAAGGGGAGAUUUUUCAUGAGCAUAAAUAACUAAAGGUAUUCAACAUUUAAACAAUGUAGGUUUGCGAUGAAUAAAAG
rnacentral:misc_RNA from 1 species